UACAGAGGGUGCAAGCGUUGUUCGGAAUUAUUGGGCGUAAAGCGCGUGUAGGCGGCUACGUAAGUUGGGUGUGAAAGCCCUCGGCUUAACCGAGGAAGUGCAUCCGAAACUGGCGAGCUAGAGUACGAAAGAGGAUCGCGGAAUUCCCGGUGUAGAGGUGAAAUUCGUAGAUAUCAGGAAGAACACCCGUGGCGAAGGCGGCUCUCUGGGACGGUACUGACGCUGAGACGCGAAAGCGUGGGGAGCGAACAGG
rnacentral:rRNA from 1 species